CCACGCUCCCCUUCAUCCAUUUUUGGCGCUCGAAUCUCUUCGCCAUCGUUCGUCUCUCGCUCUCUUUCGCUCUUUCUUCAUCUCGGCACACCCAUUCUUCCUCAUCCUCUUCCUCCUCUUCAGUAUCUGCUGCUCUUUUUCAUCGUUCGAUUGCCUGUUCUACGCUCCCCUUCCUUCGUCCUUCUUUGGCACUCGAAUCUCUUCGCCUUGUUCGUCUCGCGCUCUGUUUCGCUCUUUCUUCUCCUCGGCACACCCAUUCUUCCUCAUCCUCUUCCUCCUGUCUUCCUCCUUUUUCUGUGCUCAAAUCUCUUGGCUUUGUUCGUCUCUUGCUCUGUUUCGCUCUUUCUUCUCGUCGGCUCAACCAUUCUUCUUCCUCCUCCUCCUCCUCCUCUUUAGUUUCUGCUGCUCCUUUUCAUCAUUCUCCCUCUCCGUCUCUCUUUUUCUCGCUCUUUCUUUCUUAAAAAAAAAAAAAAAUCAAAGAAAAAUGUCGGCAGAUUCUGUCGUUGGUAUUGGAUGGGAUGUCUUGAAGAGCUAUGUAGUUGUUCCCAUCGAACGUGGAUUCGGAUACGUGAUCUCCUCCAAGAGAUUCGCCAACGUCUUCGGGGGGAAGUCCAGAAUCUGGAGAACGAGGUUCUGAGGGUCGAGGUUCUUGCGGAACAGGCUAGAAACAAUGUUCGGAAAUUCCACGUUGUCUUCACGACGUGGAAGGAAAGUGCUGACAAGGCCUUGGAAGAGGCGCCAAAGCUGUUGGAUGACUUCGAAAAGGCGACCAAGACUUGCUGCUACGGGACUCUUCCCGACCCCAAAUCUCGCUACCAGUUCAGCAGGAAGGCCGAGGGCAAGAUCGAGGUCAUUAAGCAACUCACUCAAAAAUGCAGCAGAUUCAACGCAUUGAACGACAUCUCCUUCAUCGAUCCUGCUUUCACUUCUUCUGCCUCGAAGUCGAUUAAGCUUGGGGAUGAUGGCGUCUUCGAAUCCAGAGCUUUGAUGAUACGGAACAUCAUGGGUGCUCUUGCCGACGACAGUAAUAGUGUGGUCGGGGUUUAUGGGAUGGGCGGGAUCGGCAAGUCCACCCUUUUAGUGGAUGUUGAAGGGAAAAUAAGAGAAGAAAAGUCGUUUGAUUGGGUAGCUAAGGCGGACGUAUCAGAAAAUCCGGACAUCAAGACGAUUCAAGGAGAGAUUGCGGACGCCUUGGGCCUUACUAAGAUAAAGGAGAAAGAGACUAUCAGCGGGCGAGCGAAACUUCUGCACGAGAGGUUGAAAGACGAGGAGAGGGAGAAAAAGAAGGUCCUCAUAAUACUGGACAACCUGUGGAAGGGGCUCGACUUAAACAAAGUCGGCAUUCCUUGCGGACACGACAACAAAGUCAUAGGAUGCAAGUUAUUGUUAACGUCAAGAGAUCGUAAUGUUUUGCGAAGUGAAAUGGGCUGCGACAAGGACUUCCCCCUUGGUGAGCUGGAGGAGGAAGAGGCAAGAAGUUUGUUUGAGAGGUGGGUGGGAGACAAAGUUCAUGAUGACAAGUUCAAACCCUUGGUGGAUGAAGCGCUCCACAAAUGUUUUGGUAUGCCUUUCCUAAUUGUCCAUAUGGCAAAAGUUUUUAAACUUGCUGAUUUACCUGAAUGGAAGAAUGUUUUGAAACAAAUCAAGCUGUCUAAAAAUGAAGAAUCGGGGAAGUGAUAAAUGAGAGGUUGCAAUUGAGUUAUAAAAAUUAAAAGCUGCAGAGAAGUCAUUGUUAGCACUCUGUGUUGCUUGUGGCACCUCUAAGCCCUCUUUUGAAAACUUGGUGAGGUACGGUGUGGGUUAUGGGCUAUUUCGAGAAGAUGACAACAUGGAAGAAGCUAGAGAGAGUUUGAAAUCAGGGAUUUGUAGUCUUCAAGCCUCCUCCCUUUUGUUAGAGGAUGGAGACGCUUAUGGUUUCAAGAUACAUGACUUGGUUCAUGAGUUUGUUGCUUCGGUCGCUUCAAGAGAUCACCCUCUUCUCAUUUUGAAAGAUAAAGAUAAGUCAAUAACAGAGUUGUCGAAGGACAAGCUCAAAAGUUGUAGGGCAGUAUGCUUUCCAUACAUUGACAUGAAGGAGCUUCCCCAAGAAUUAGAUUGCCCUGAAUUGCAGAUCUUUUUGUUGUUCACAAACAAUGAAUCUCUUAAGGUCCCAUAUUCAUUAUUUCGCUCUAUGAGGAAACUCAUGGUCUUAAAUCUCACCGGGAUAAGUCUCACUUGCUCUCCUUCAUCGCCAUUUCAAUUCUUGGAGAAUUUACACACUUUGUGUCUUGACAAUUGUUCGUUAGAUAAUGUAGCCAUUCUUGGCAAGCUGAAAGGGCUACAAAUUCUUAGUUUUGUGAACUCCAAUAUUCAUCGAUUGCCAAAAGAAAUUGGGCAACUGGUAGAGCUGAGGUUGUUAGACUUAAACUAUUGUCCACAACUUGAGAUAAUUGAACCGGGUGUACUUCGAAGCUUGAUCAAGUUAGAGGAGCUGUACAUGAAUAAUAGCUUUGAUCGAUGGAAUACCGUGGACCAAACUCAACCAGCAAAUGCUAGUCUGAUUGAGUUGAAUCACAUGAAUAAUCUCCACACUCUUGCAUGUUUCCAUUCCUAAUCCGAGUGUGCUUCCAGAGGACCUAAACGUCGAGAAAUUAACCAAGUAUAGGAUCCAAAUAGGUAAUGUGUGGCACUGGUGGAGUGAGUGCAAAGGAUCGAGGACAUUGAAGCUCAAGUUGGAUCCAUUAGGCAAUGUUCUUCGGAAAGGAUGCAUUCAAAGUAUCUUAGGCAAAACUGACGAUCUGUCUUUGGACAAGUUGGACAGAAAUGAGCAAAGUGUUUGCAUGUUAUCCCAAAAAGGUUUUCCAGAAUUAAAGCAUCUACAGGUCAAAAAUAAUUCCUCUAUCCAUUACAUCCUCCAAUUGCCAUCCCAUACACAUUUUACGAUGUUGGAGUCAUUACUUCUCAAGGAUCUCAUCAACUUGGAGAUGAUAUGCAACGGCCAUAUCUCCAAGUCCUUCAGUGCAUUAAUAGUAAUACAAGUCGAAAGGUGUGACAAGAUGGAAGUAUUGUUUCCUCUUUCAAUGGUGAGAGGACUUCCACAGCUAGAAAAGAUUAAUGUUGUUGAUUGCAAGCGAAUGCGGGGGAUUGUAGAUGCUGAUGACGGUGGCAAAGUUGAGUUGCAUAAUUUGCUUGGAUUGAAAUUGCGUGACUUGCCAUAUAUUAAGAGCUUUUUCACUAUAGGGAUGGCUCCUUUGAGUAGCACAUCACACGACAAAGUUGGCACUCAAAUUGCAUUCUUCAAUGAGCAACAGGUUGCCUUUUCGAAAUUGGAGACAUUAGAAGUCUAGGGCUUGGAUAACAUCGAGUUUUUGUUUUCCCCAUCCAUGAUUAAAUCUCUCGCACAACUGAGAGAUCUACGGGUAUCUUCUUGCAAGAAGAUGGAGGCGAUCAUUACGGAGGAAGAAGGGUUGGGAUUGGAAAUAUCAGAAACUCCGGCAUUCCCAAUGUUAACUAGCUUAAACUUAAAUGAUUUGGAAAGUUUGAUGUGCUUCUCUCGCAAAAAGUGUUCACGAGAAGCUCGGAGUCAGGACCGCAUCAAAUCAUACUGCACUACACUCUUCAGUCAAGAGGUUGCCUUUUCGAAAUUGGAGACAUUAGAAGUCAAGGGCUUGGAUAACGUCGAGUUUUUGUUUUCCCCAUCCAUGAUUAAAUCUCUCGCACAACUGAGAGAUCUACGGGUAUCUUCUUGCAAGAAGAUGGAGGCGAUCAUUACGAAGGAAGAAGGGCUGGCAUUGGAAAUAUCAGAAACUCUGGCAUUCCCGAUGUUAACUAAAUUAGACUUAAAUUGUUUGAAAAGUUUGAUGAGCUUCUCUCGCGAAAAUUGUUCACGAGAAGCUCGAAGUCAGGACCGCAUCAAAUCAUGCUCCACUGCACUCUUCAGUCAAGAGGUUGCAUUUCCUAAAUUGGAGGCAUUAGAUAUUAGUGACUUGGAUAAUUUUGAGAUGAUAUGGGACAAUAAAGUUGCUGUGGAUUCUUUCUCCAAGCUAAAAACCCUUCGUGUGGUUGAUUGCAAUAAGCUUGUGAGCGUAGUUCAUUCUACCAUUCUGAGACAGCUCUUGAGCUUGGAAAGAUUGGAUGCAAGAAGAUGUGGUUCGCUUGAAUUAUUUUUGAACUUCGGACACUGAAUCAUCUAGAUGGACAUCCUAUUGCUCUUCCAUUAACAGAACUGACGGUAUCAAGAUUACCAAAGCUGAAGUGCAUAUGGGAUAAGGAACUCCAUUGUCAAGUUAAAUUCCAGUGUCUACGUUCUAUUAGCGUUUCAGGAUGUGAGAGCCUCACCUCUUUGUUUCCAACCUCAGUAACCAGAGAUCUAAUACAACUUGAGAAGUUGGCGAUCGAUGAAUGUGGCAUUGUAGAAAUCAUCAAGAGUGAAGAAGGACUAGUUUCCAAGUUUGUAUUCCCAAUGUUAACCUCCCUUGAGCUUGAGUGUUUGAGAGAGUUGAAGUGCCUCUACAAAGGAACACAUACUUCCCAUUGGCCGGCAUUGAAGACCUUGAAGGUGCAUGGCUGUGACAAAGUGGAGAUACUUGCAUCACACCUUGAGAAUGAGAUGCCACUUGAUAAACAACCUCUCUUGUUGAUAGAAAAGGGCGCAUUCCCUAAUCUCCAAGAGUUAAAGUUGGAUUUAUCGAAACGGAUGGAGAUAUGGCAUGGGCAUUUUCAUGAUGGAGAAUUCUUUUGCAAGCUUAGUUUGCUUAAGCUUUGUCAUCUCUCCCAAGAGUCUUCAAUAUCCACAUGUCGCUUCGUUGAGAGUUUAACCAACUUGGAAGAGCUUGUUGUAUGUGAAUCUUAUCUAGAAGACCCAAGCAGCAAUGAGGAAGCCAUAGAAGGCACGAGUCGUGAGAUGAAAGUAAUAUUACCCUUUUCAAGAUAUAUUCAACAUCUGCAAACUCUAGAUGUGUCAUAUUGUGAUGGGUUAUCAAAAAUGCUCACACCGACAAUUGCUGAAAAUUUGGUGGCACUCACAAAAUUGAGGAUAAGUAAUUGUAGAAUAUUGACAGAAAUCAUUAAUGAUGAGAAAGGUGGGGAUGGCCGUGUGGUGGCUUUCAAUCAACUGAAGUAUAUGGAGCUUGAUGGGUUGAUAGGGUUGAGAAGUUUCAGCUCGGGUGGAUACACUUUGAUGUUCCCGCUCUUGGAAGAUAUCAUUGUGACUAGAUGUCCCAACAUGAAGUUUUUCUCUCAAGGACCAAUGGAGGCAUCAAAGUUAAAGAGAGUUCAAGUAUCAAAGGAAGCAUGGUUUUGGGCAGGAAACCUCAACAUCACCAUCCAGAAUAUGUUUGAAGAAAUGGGCACGUUUGCUGGAGUAGAGAAAAUGUUGCUAUCUGAGUUCCCUGGGUUGAUUGGAAAAUGGCACAACGAACUUAAUCCCAUCAAGUCGUAUUGGCAACUAAAAUCAGUGGUGGUAGAUAAAUGUCCAUCAUUUAUUAACGCUAUUCCAUCCAGAUUGAUGCUUGUCUUAGACAAUUUGAGCUAUUUGCAAGUGCGUGAUUGUGAGUUGCUUGAAGAAAUAUUUGAUUUGGAAGGGCUGGAGGUUGUGGAAAGCACUCGAGUACUGCCUCAGCUACGGGAAUUGAACUUGGUCAAUCUACCAAAAUUAAGGCGACUGUGGAACAGAGAUCUUCAAGAAUCGCUAUGCUUCAAUUCUCUAGAAAGUCUCAUCCUUUAUAAUUGCAGCAACUUGGGACAUGCUUUCUCUCCAUCAAUGGCUCAGUGCCUUGCCAAUCUUGAACUAAUGGAAAUAAAGGAGUGUGGUCAAAUGGAAGGAGUGAUCGUAGAGGAAGAAGCAAAGGGAAGCGCAAUGAAGAAGAUUACAUUCCCAAAGCUCCAGCGGAUGACGAUGGAAUACUUGCCCAAUUUGACUUGUUUCCUCUUGGGAAAAAAUCAUAUGCUGGAAUGCCCCAAAUUAGAAAUGAUGAUAAUUGCCCAUUGCCCCAAGAUGGAAAGUUUGAUUGGGCAAUCUCAGAUGGAGGAUGACCACAGCACCCCUUCAUUUUUCACUUCCCAGGACUUUCCCAACUUGGAGAGACUUUUAUUAGUCAAUAACAAUAUUCAGAUGAUACAAGAUGGAAAUUUUUCGGAUGACAUGUUCAGUAAGCUAAAAGCACUAACACUAGCAUGCUUUCAUGAUAAAAAGGCUGCCUUUCCUUCCAUAUUCCUCCUAGAGAGAUUUCAGAAUUUACAAAGCCUUGAAGUCUUAUGUAGCUCCUUUGAAGAUUUAUUCCCGAACGAAGGGCUUGUUGAAGAAAGGAAACAUCCGGUGCUUGAAAAUUUAAGAGAACUUAAGUUGAACAAGCUACACAACUUAAAGUGUGUGUGGAGAGAAGACUCUUUAGUGUCGAAAAUUCUUCAGAGCAUCAAAACAUUUCAGGUUUGGGAUUGUCCCUGUUUGACAACAAUAUUUCCAACCGAGACAUCCUUCCAGAAUCUGACAAAUUUAGUGGUGAAGAAUUCCUCUGGAUUGGUACAUCUAGUAACGACUUCAACAGUCACAAAUUUGGUACAUCUCACUUAUAUGACUAUAAUAGGAUGUGAAAGAAUGAAAGAAGUAGUGGCCGACGAUGGAAACAGAGAAGGAAAAGUGAUUUCUUUUGAAAAGCUAAGUUGGUUGACACUUGAACAUCUGCCAAACUUAGAAUGCUUCUCUUCCAUCCCAAGUUGCAUCUUUAGGUUCCCAUCCUUAUAAAUUAAAGUGGAAGAGUGUCCGAAAAUGAAGAACUUUUCUAAGGGUACACUAAGCACACCAGAACUAGUUUAUGUGUCACUGUUCAGAUACAAUUGGAAAGAGAAUUGGGAGAAGGGUGAUGAUCUCAAUACAACCAUACAGAAGUUAGCAGCAUAAAUCAAUGCACAUAGAAUUGUAGGAAGCAAAGCGGGUCUCUCCUUCUCCUUCUCCUUCUUGACGCCAAAGGCUCUUUCUCCAUCUUUCUUCUUCUUCUUCCUCCGUGGAGCGAAACUGGGGGAAGCCUCUGCUGCCUUCACAAAGGACGGAGCAAAAAUGAAGCAUCAGGAAUUGCCAGGACUGCGAGAAGCGAAGCUGCAAUUAGCGGAGCGGAGCCAAGUAGAUUCAACCAGACGCUGUCGUUGUCGCCGUCAUCACCGCCGGAGGUGGCACAACCGAGUCUGGACAGUCAGUCGUCCACUCACUUCAUCAAAGAAGAAGAAGAUCACACUCUCUCCGCAUCUGUAUCCGACAAAUGGCAGGUCCAAACAUUCGAGCAGAUUGAGGCAUCCUGAGCUGGUUUUUUAUGGUCCCAUGCGCCCAAGGCCUCUCACUGCUCUUACAUCGGCCAACAAAUUUCAAACGGUGCAUCCCUUUUUCAAAGGUGGUGAUGAGGUCUUCUUAUGUUAAGUUUGGCUUGGCAACAUAAUCUGGAAAAAAAGUAAAUUGCAACUCUCAGGUAUUCAGACAAGUCAUGGACGUUGAAACUCAGGAGCCAUGGACGUGGACACAGGGGGGCCUUUUUUUCUGCUGGUUGGCCCACAUUUGCUAGAGAAGCUUAUCUGCAUGUGGGAGAUGUUGUGUGUUUGAGCUCAUUAAUGGGGAGGAUGUGUGUUCAGAGUCUACAUUUCCACUAGAGCUGGUAAGGACUUGGUUUACAUUGAUUGAAAUGAACUCUGGAAGUGUCACUUUGGCUCAUCCAAAAUAAAUCCUGUAUUCAUAGUUAUAUCUCCUUUGGUUAGCCUUGGUGAAUCAAUGAAGUAUACUUCUUCCAUUCCUAUUGUGUUUGUGAGGUUUGCAAUAAUCCAGAUGCUCACUCAUUAAUGUAGCAUCCCAAAUCUAAAUGAACCGAAAAAGAUGGGAUUCAAGAUCAAAGCAAAAGUUAAAACCUGAAAUGCUCAUCAUGAGAAUUCAGAGGUGUGACUUGUUGGUUUCUAAGUUAUGCUUAUGUGUACAACCUCACAUUCUUUUUCUUAGUCUCUCUCCAAACUUGUGAAAUUCUCCUAAUAAUCUUUUUGUAUAUUGAUUUGGUGGCAUUAUGAUUUAGGAGUUGCUAAGUGUAGUAAUCAGUUGUGUCUAACAUGAAGAACAUGUAGACGUUAGUACCAUGAUCACAGGGACUGAUGUGUAGAUCAUUGUAACUCAAUACAAGGUUGACAGUCGUACCUAUGAGAAUUCUCCUUUUUCUUUUGUGCAUAUCGAACCAAACAGUCUAAAUGUCAAGUAGCCCUCCUGAGCAAGUUUUGCAUGGUUCCACAUGUCCGUGGCCUCCCAUUGCUCUUGGAAAAACUAGAGAAUUUGAAUUGGAGGAUCCACUUUUGAAAUUGGUGAUGUGGCCACUUUUAUUAAGAAGAGAACUGCAGUAAGGGCCUAUGUCCUUUCAUAAUUGGCAUAUCUCAACCAUGAUGCCAUCUACAUCUUGCCCUAUAGUCUAAUGUUUUCCCAUGUUGUUUUGGUUUUUACUGUAGAUGUUAUUUUCUUUGAAAUGUUUAUGGUUUUAUGAGUAAAAUUGGGGCAGUUUUGAUUUUGAAUUUUUAUUUAUUUAUUAUGGAUUCAGAAGAUUACAGAUUCUUAAAUAAUAGAUUGUACUUUUCUCAUUAAUCAGGUCUAAAGAAGAUUGCUUUUAUUCAUAGAGUAAGAGGAUGUGGUGGACAUGAUCAGUGUUAGCAACUCCUGAAGCGUUAUCAUGACGAUUCAAAUAUUGUGUACAUUAUUGUAGAGUCUAUGAGCACUGUAUUGAGACACUUUAACUUCAAACUGCAGGUUGGAAUUGAAGACUUCUAUCAGCCAGUUAACACUGUUAAUAGAAUUUCCUGAAACUAGUAAAUACUAGCGUAUAUUAACAUUUUGUUUGCCUUUUCUCUCUAUUGUUUGUUUGUAUUUAAUCUUUUCCUCAUCAUGCUACAUUGGCAGAGUGUUCCUUGUGAAUUCAUAAAGAAGUACAUUCAGAAGAACCAGCAAAUCGCUACUCUUAGGUAUCUGAACAAAUCACGGCUGGUGCAGCUCAAGACCUAUCAACACCAUUAUCCAACAUCUCUGUGGUUGCCUCAUGUUGGUGAGAGAAGCUUAUCUGGAUGAAAGGGAUGUCUGCAUGCUUGAGCUCUCAUUGAUAUGGAUGAUUUUCUGGUCAAAAUCUCCAUCGCCAAUUAUGCUUGUCAGAAUAGAUAAGUCAUGAAUGUCCAGUGAGCCCUCCUGAGCAAGUUUUUUCAUGAUUCCAAGUGUCCAAGGCCCCUCACUGCCCUUAAGGAAGCUAGAGAAUUCAAAUGGGAGUAUCCCUUUUUCCAAACAAUGAUGUGGCCAUCUUUUCUUAAGAAAGAAGUGGCGGCAUCUUAACAACUGAGUAAAGGGACUAGGGAAAAACAAUGAGUCGGGACAGUAAUCAGGAAAUAACCCAGUGACAGGUGGGUGCAGAGACAAGAUCAGAGGCUUGAGAAAGGCAAUAACAACCAUAAGUUAGGAAUUUAAUGGUUUUUAAUUGAAGUAUAAAUUCCUCCCAAAGAUGACUACUUAGUACUUUCUCUUGCUGCCUAGGCUUGGGAAUAAGAGGCGACACGAAAUGUCCAGCUUAAGCCAUAGCUACUGCAACAGGCCUAGGCUUGGCAUGACUGAGUUCACUGCAAUAGCAUGGCAACACUAGUCGGGUGUUGCUCCCUAGCAACAAAUGGUUUACAAGAGCUACUAUUGCAAGCAGGUUCAAACUUGUGGUCGGAAAUGAAGGGAAGGUAGUGCGGCCUAGACCUCAAAAAUUAGUGCCACCAACUCGAUGGUAUGAAAAGAAGAAAAGAAGAUCACUUCUUUUUGGCCAGGCAGAAGAAGAUCACUUACUUUUUGUGUAUAUGUGUCCAUUUAGGACCCGAUGUGCAGCUUUUCAUGUUUGCUCGAUGCAUAUCACAAUGCAAGAUUGGUGACUCAGAUAUUCACCAAAUUCAACAUGUCUCUAUAUUGAUUACAUGUAUUUAAUGUAGAGUCUAAGAGCACAGGAUUAUGAUAUUCUGAUUUCAGAUUGCAAGUUGUGAUUCAAGGCCAUUUCAUCAAGCCUUUUAGACUGCUAAUAUGGACUUUGGAAACUAACAACUACUAGCAUAGAUGUACGUCUUGUU